AUGAGGCACCAUGAGGAGCGUGGGCCUUUGUUCCUCCUUUCUGCAGCUUGUCCUGCCUUGGUUGUAGCUGGUGGUGUUGGUGACACAGAGCUGGUUGGAGAUCCAGAGCUUUCGCCUUUGGAUAGUAAAGUCAUUCUCGUCAGGGCAAGCAUGGCCUUACCUGCUUUCUAUGAGACAAAGAUUGUGAAGGCAAAACCAACAACACUCCCAUGACACCAGAGGGGGGCUGCCACUGAACCGAGACAACAGACGGGCGGUCUGUCCCACCUUCACCUUGAGGUGCUGUGGGGGGUUCUCAAAAUGCAGUGUUGCACCUGCAAAGCCAAAAAAUAGCUGACUCCCUGUGAGAACCCCGCGCAGUCUGAUGUCACUUCCCUCGUCCACAUAGCAGUCCUCCAGAUGCUCUAUGAAGACGGGUGGAUCCAGAUGUUUGGCAGAGGAGAGGUUGAGAGAACCUGAACAUGAAAAGGAGGACUGCCACUGAAUACUUGAAGCUUAGCUGAAGAAGCACUUCAUCAGCAGCCCUUACCUCUAUCAGUGCAUUUGUCCGAGGGCCUGGUGUUAGCAGUUCCUGGCCCACUGCUGGGUGAAGAUGAUGAUGAUGAUGAUGAUGAUGAUGCACGUGCUGGCUUGAUCUGCAUCCUGAAGGUUGAUACAAAACUCUGUUUGCUGCCAUCGCCGUUCAUGUCUGUCAGAAAACCCUGGCCUCUGAGGCAAACAAGUUUACAAAGUCAUUUCCCAGCAGAUUAUC